GAGACUCGAGAUGUAUGUAACUCUCUCUCUCUCUCUCUCUCUCUCUCUCUCUGUGCAGAAGAUCCACGCAGCAGCACACGGACAGAUGGACAGAUGCACGAGGGGAAGCCUGAGGCAAUCAGACAGCUGAAGGACAUCAGGUUUAAUGUUCUCUAAUCACACGGUCUGGGGGCUGAGGGGCAGGAAGUUUCGAGAGAAACAGAAAAGCAAACAAAAUGAGACCUUCACCCCUACAUGCCUUCUGAGAGAGAUACAGCUAGUAAGUGUUAAGUCAGCAUUUUUUGUAUUGAGACACAACCUCUCUCUAUUUCUAUCUUUCUCUCACACACACAGACGCAACUUCGUAGUUAUAACAGACAGCUUAAACUAUAAGAAAUAUAAGCGUAUUCUUUUAUCAAAUUUAUGCACAAGCUAGCUACACAAACUGCCCACAUUGUUAUAAAAUGUGAUAAAUGUCUGCUGUUGUUUUACUGCAGCUUUUCUCUUACCUGAGCCGGUGAAAGCGCCAGGAAAGCAGCAGAAAGGACCUGCAGGAACCAGACCAACAUUUCGCACAAUUUUGAAGUCAAUAAGGAUUUAAAACCGAGGAGAAAUCCACUCAGGUGUGCCCGGUCACGUGAGAGUCCAGAGCGCAGCUUCGCCUGUAAUCCACGACCCGGUUCGUGGCGAACGUUUAACUCAAGACUGAAGCGCUGAAGAUGCCGCUCAGAAGAGAGAAGCGCUCAGAAGCUCCGGGUGGUGCUGCAGCUUCUCACCAAGCCGAGCAAAACGUCUCUGAUGCGCUGAAAGCACUGAACGCACAGGUCCACCAGAGCUGGGGGAUUUUCUCCUGCCGGUGGUCGAGAUGUUGGAGGAGAUGCUGGGUCCUUGGAGAAAGUCUUCUGCCGCGCAUUUCCUCUACAAAGUUCAGCCACUUGCCCACUAAUUGCCCCUCAGCUCCAUUUCAACAAGUUACUCAUUGAAAUCUCCUCCUCCAGAGCCUGAGCCUUUCACACUCCUUCCAUCCCCACCCUCCACAUACUCACUCACUCAGUCACUCCACUUCUUCUCCUCCUCAUCUCUCUCUCUCUCUUUCUCUCCCUCUCUCUUUCUCUCACUCUCUCUCUUUCUCCACCUUGCUGCUUUUCUCUGCUUUAUUGUUCUCUUUUGCUGUUGAAAGAAGCUUAAAAAAGUUCACAAAAUGUGUUUCAAUGCUGUUUGAAGAACUCUCUGCUUGUUUUCUGUAUCCCUAUUGUGCAUAAGACUGUGGAAUUUUUCUCACAUAUUUCUAUGAAUACAUAAAUACAAAAUACAAUGACUGGUCAAAUAUCAUGGGACAUGUGACUAAUGUAGUAUUGUAUUGUGUCCUAUGACUUUACGACUUUUUCCAAUACCCCACAACUCCCAUGGGAUAUGAAUGUGGAAGUGAUUUCUGCCAGAGUCGCAUGUCUAUCUAGACAGCUUUAUCUGGACGGUACUGGUCACAAUUAAUGAUCUAAAUUUAUGCGUAUACCUUCUGCGAUGUAUUUCCAGUAUGUACUUAACACUGUGGAUAAAAUAAAGGGAUGUUAAAUGCCCA
rnacentral:lncRNA from 1 species